rnacentral:miRNA from 1 species
CUCCAGCAGACCCUCCCUCCCAGACCCUCCUACUUCCUGGACAGUUGAACAUGGAUGCUGUCCAGGAAGUAGGAGGGUCUGGGAGGGAGGGUCUGCUGGAG